rnacentral:rRNA from 1 species
UACGUAGGGCGCGAGCGUUGUCCGGAAUUAUUGGGCGUAAAGAGCUCGUAGGCGGCCGGUUGCGUCUGCUGUGAAAUCCCGGGGCUUAACCCCGGGCGUGCAGUGGAUACGGGCCGGCUGGAGGCAGGCAGGGGAGAAUGGAAUUCCCGGUGUAGCGGUGAAAUGCGCAGAUAUCAGGAGGAACACCGAUGGCGAAGGCAGGUCUCUGGGCCAUAACUGACGCUGAGAAGCGAAAGCAUGGGGAGCGAACAGG